rnacentral:misc_RNA from 1 species
GAACUGCGAUAAGUAAUGUGAAUUGCAGAAUUCAGUGAAUCAUCGAGUCUUUGAACGCACAUUGCGCCCCCUGGCAUUCCGGGGGGCAUGCCUGUCCGAGCGUCAUUGCUGCCCUUCAAGCCCGGCUUGUGUGUUGGGUCGUCGUCCCCUCCGGGGGACGGGCCCGAAAGGCAGCGGCGGCACCGCGUCCGGUCCUCGGGCGUAUGGGGCUUUGUCACCCGCUCGAUAAGGACCGGCCGGGCGCCAGCCGGCGUCUCCAACCUUUUUUUCUCAGGUUGACCUCGGAUCAGGUAGGGAUACCCGCUGAACUUAAGC